GGGGAUUUAGCUCAGUGGUAGAGCGCUUGCCUAGCAAGCACAAGGUCCUGGGUUCGGUCCCCAGCUCUG
rfam:Rattus norvegicus chromosome 9, whole genome shotgun sequence.